ensembl:lncRNA
GUUUUGUGCAAGUCAUGUGUCGGUGUGCGACGGGUUUUGUACCCACGUUUAUUAUUUUUUUGAAUAUUUUGUUUUUUGCGGUUUUAUAAGCACUUAUUAAACGACUCCGUUUAUACCAAGUUGGUUCUCCUGCACCUGACUUCCCUGCCACCAACACGCACCCAUUGCAGGUGGUUAAAACAACAUACCCAAGUGGGGUCCUUGCUCUGUAGAAUACCUAUCAGUCUAGAAGGCCUUCAGAAUUCCUGUGGGUUCUUAACCAAAGGAAACCUCCUCAAGGAUUCCACAGUCAGAACAGGCUGUUAAGAGAACCACGGACAGGAAUAAGAACAUGCUGUUAAGAGAACCACGGACAGGAUAAGAACAGGCUGUUAAGAGAACCACGGACAGGAUAAGAACAUGCUGUUCAGAGAACCACGGACAGGAUAAGAACAUGCUGUUCAGAGAACCACGGACAGGAUAAGAACAUGCUGUUCAGAGAACCACGGACAGAAUAAGAACAUGCUGUUCAGAGAACCACAGACAGAAUAAGAACAUGCUGUUCAGAGAACCACAGACAGGAUAAGAACAUGCUGUUCAGAGAACCACAGACAGGAUAAGAACAUGCUGUUCAGAGAACCACGGACAGAAUAAGAACGGGCUGUUCAGAGAACCACGGACAGGAUAAGAACGGGCUGUUCAGAGAACCACAAAUAGGCACUGGAUAACAAUGGAGCUUCCACUCAGUGUAAAUGAUCUCCUCUCUCUCUCUCUCUCUCUCGUUGCUGAAUGAUCCUACUUCAUACUACCACUACUAAUCCUCUUCAGCACGUCUUCCUAUUCUCUGCCACACUGGUUGUAUGAUAUCGAGAUUCAUCUACAAGCCGGUGAUGCCCAAGCCAGUAAACUUGAAGUGGUUGGCAUAUUCAGGACACCACUCAAGUCUUGAUCACUGCAGCAGUGGCGAUACAUAGACUUUGGCGCAUUGUCUCAAGUGGUUCAGCCAGGGCCGAACGCCACCACUCUGCCAGCUCCUUCAGGACUAUGUGUGGGUGCAGGACCAGCUCUCUAAUCAGCUCUCUUCUUUGGGUUCCCAGAGAAAUAUGAGUGAGAGGGAGAAGACAGGUCGUCGUCUUUGGAUGUUCCUGUGCUGCGGUGCUGUGUGUCAGGCUCACCUAGGUUGCCUCCCUCAGUAGAGCUGCUUUUAUCCCCCGUGUGCGCGUGUUCUCGUGUUCCUGUGUGUGAUUUUUAUCCCCGCUCUGUGGCCAUCUAUCCCCCCCGGCAGUCACUCCACUAAUUGGUUGCUCCUCUGAAGUGCCAGUACUGUUAUCUUUCAAUAUCACAGAACGGUUCAUUAGAGAGAGGUAACGUCUCGGCAAGGAUGAACUUUCCCCAUAUUUCUUAGACUAGAUUAAAACAUAUGACUGGACUGGUUCUGGCAUGGUUUUAUAUUAGGGUGCUGGUAUAGUACACUGAAUAUUGUUAUAGUCGUAACAUUACAUAGAAGUACUAAUAUGGUUACUUAGGGUUUUUCUAUAGGCCUAUUAGUGUAUGGUUUGUACAGUGUGCAGGGCAGCGUUUCCCAAACUCAGUCC